AUUGAACGCUGGCGGCAUGCCUUACACAUGCAAGUCGAACGGUAACAGGGAGCUUGCUCCGCUGACGAGUGGCGAACGGGUGAGUAAUGCAUCGGAACGUACCCCGUAGUGGGGGAUAACGCAGUGAAAGCUGUGCUAAUACCGCAUACGCACUGAGGUGGAAAGCAGUGGACCUUCGGGCCUUGUGCUAUUGGAGCGGCCGAUGUCAGAUUAGCUAGUUGGCGGGGUAAAAGCUCACCAAGGCGACGAUCUGUAGCUGGUCUGAGAGGAUGAUCAGCCACACUGGGACUGAGACACGGCCCAGACUCCUACGGGAGGCAGCAGUGGGGAAUUUUGGACAAUGGGGGCAACCCUGAUCCAGCCAUGCCGCGUGAGUGAAGAAGGCCUUCGGGUUGUAAAGCUCUUUCGGCCGGGAAGAAAUCGCCAUCUCUAAUAUAGGUGGUGGAUGACGGUACCGGAAUAAGAAGCACCGGCUAACUACGUGCCAGCCGCCGCCGUAACAC
rnacentral:rRNA from 1 species